rnacentral:rRNA from 1 species
CACGUAGGGUGCGAGCGUUGUCCGGAAUUAUUGGGCGUAAAGAGCUCGUAGGCGGUCUGUUACGUCUGCUGUGAAAACCCAGGGCUUAACCCUGGGCUUGCAGUGGAUACGGGCAGACUAGAGGCAGGUAGGGGAGAAUGGAAUUCCCGUGUGAGCGGUGAAAUGCGCAGAUAUCAGGAGGAACACCAGUGGCGAAGGCAGGCU